GCCUACGACCAUGCCACCCUGAAUGUGCCUGAUCUCGUCUGAUCUCAGAAGCUAAGCAGGGUCGGGCCUGGUUAGUAUUUGGAUGGGAGACUACCUAGGAAGACCAGGUACUGUAGAUG
rnacentral:rRNA from 1 species